rnacentral:rRNA from 1 species
UACAGAGGUCUCAAGCGUUGUUCGGAUUCAUUGGGCGUAAAGGGUGCGUAGGCGGUCUGCUAAGUUUGAUGUGAAAUCCCGGGGCUCAACCCUGGAAUGGCAUUGAAUACUGGUGGACUAGAGUACUGGAGAGGAAACUGGAAUUUACGGUGUAGCAGUGAAAUGCGUAGAGAUCGUAAGGAAGACCAGUGGCGAAGGCGAGUUUCUGGACAGUAACUGACGCUGAGGCACGAAGGCCAGGGGAGCAAACGGG